rnacentral:rRNA from 1 species
UGGGGGAUAUUGCACAAUGGGCGAAAGCCUGAUGCAGCGACGCCGCGUGGGGGAUGAAGGCCUUCGGGUUGUAAACUUCUUUUGCUCUGAACAAGGCGCACCAUGGGGUGUGUUGAGUGUAGGGGUUGAUUAGCGCCGGCUAACUACGUGCCAGCAGCCGCGGUAAUACGUAGGGCGCGAGCGUUGUCCGGAAUUAUUGGGCGUAAAGGGCUUGUAGGUGGCUGGUUGCGUCUGUCGUGAAAGCUCAUGGCUUAACUGUGGGUUUGCGGUGGGUACGGGCUGGCUGGAGUGCAGUAGGGGAGGCUGGAAUGCCUGGUGUAGCGGUGGAAUGCGCAGAUAUCAGGAGGAAUACCGGUGGGGAAGGCGGGUCUCUGGGCUGUUACUGACACUGAGGAGCGAAAGCAUGGGGAGCGAACAGG